UGUCUGAGACUCUGUGUUUCCUAGAUUAUCCAACAAAUUGGAAGGAGUUCGCUCAUCCAAAUUCCUGGCAACUUACUAAGGCUGAUCACUUCUUAACUGCUGCUCUCUGAACUGCCAUUUCACACUGUACUGGCCAGGAGACUACUGGUGAAGACGGGAGGCAGCCUUUGCUCCUGCCUUGAAGGUACCUCAAUCAUGUACACAUCAAAUCUCAGAUUAUCUGCACAUUUGGCCACUCUCCCUGGAAGGUACAAGCUGUCAUUAUGCUGUCUAUAGCUUACAUUUCAUUGUUGAAGAAAUUUUUCGAUUGUCUUGUGUUUUUGGAUUUUAUUCACUCAUUUCCAUGUUUCUUCAAUUCUGAUGAAUGGUGUCUUUUCAUGCUUUGUAUUAUUUUCUUAAUGCCUUCAGCCUCAUUGUUGAAAAGUCCACAGUCCAGCCAGGCACGGUGGCCCACACCUGUAAUCCUAGCACUUUAGGAGGCUGAGGCGGGCAG